GGUGAGGUAGUACAGUCCGGUAGUGCGURGGCCUGCAAAGCCYGAAGUCGAGAGUUCAAAUCUCUCYCUCACCU
rnacentral:tRNA from 1 species